rnacentral:rRNA from 1 species
UACGUAGGGAGCAAGCGUUGUCCGGAAUCAUUGGGCGUAAAGCGCGCGUAGGUGGCCUCAUAAGUCCGCUGUGAAAGUCAAAGGCUCAACCUUUGAAAGCCGGUGGAUACUGUGAGGCUAGAGUACGGAAGAGGCGAGUGGAAUUCCUGGUGUAGCGGUGGAAUGCGCAGAUAUCAGGAGGAACACCAAUAGCGAAGGCAGCUCGCUGGGCAGUAACUGACGCUGAGGAGCGAAAGCGUGGGGAGCGAACAGG